rnacentral:rRNA from 1 species
UACAGAGGUCUCAAGCGUUGUUCGGAUUCAUUGGGCGUAAAGGGUGCGUAGGUGGCGGGGUAAGUCAGGUGUGAAAUUUCGGAGCUUAACUCCGAAACUGCAUUUGAUACUGCCUUGCUUGAGGACUGGAGAGGAGAUUGGAAUUCACGGUGUAGCAGUGAAAUGCGUAGAUAGUCAUGAGGAAUACCAGAGGCGAAGGCGGCUACCUGGACAAUUGCUGACGCUCAGGCACGAAAGCGUGGGGAGCAAAAGGG